rnacentral:lncRNA from 10 species
AUUUCUACAUCUGCUCUGUUAGAAGAUAGGCUCGCUUAGGACAGAGCCUUCUAAUCCACCCCCUGAUGAAUUCGGGCCCUCGCCUUUGGCACAAUGCCUGGCGUCAUCACAACGCGGGUGAUCAGUAAACGGCAGCGAAGGAAGCGGGGUCAGGACUGGAGAGGAGAGGGGGAGGAAGACAGACGACCGGAGAGGAACAAAAAUGGAAGAACAAGUAAGAAUGGACAGAGGAAUACCAUGUGCUGACUGACGAACGCCUGGGUUUCUGAACCAAUUGCCAUCAAGGGGAUUGGGAUUACCAUAAUUUUUGCUGAGACUAAGCCCCACCCCAGUAACCAAAGGCUUAUGGGUGGAAUGCAAGCUAUUGGAAGUAUUUGAAGAUGUGACCAAGGAAGCUAUGAGAAUUGGAAAUGAGGCAGUUGUUUAGAAACGGGCUGAUGUGCUUGUGGCAGUGUUUCAAGAACCCAGCUCCAUUCAUCCUAUGAUGCCACCAUCCUCAGCAUUUGACUUCCAUGGCUCCUGUAAGAGAAGAGAACAUGAAGAACAAAACAGGAGGUUUUUAUGGGAGGCAUGUCAAUUUGACCAGAUACUUUGCCCAGAACCUUGUCACAUGGCCUCUGCCUAAAUGACAAUGAGGCUAGUGGCUGGGUGUGGUGGCUCAUGCUUGUAAUCUCAGCACUUUGGGAGGCUGAGCCAGGAGGGUCUCUUGAGCCUAGGAAUUCAAGAUCAGCCUGGGCAACAUAGGGAGACUUCGUCGCUAC